AGUCCAGACUCCUACGGGAGGCAGCAGUGGGGAAUAUUGCACAAUGGGGGAAACCCUGAUGCAGCGACGCCGCGUGAGUGAAGAAGUCUUUCGGUAUGUAAAGCUCUAUCAGCAGGGAAGAAAAUGACGGUACCUGACCAAGAAGCCCCGGCUAACUACGUGCCAGCAGCCGCGGUAAUACGUAGGGGGCAAGCGUUAUCCGGAUUUACUGGGUGUAAAGGGAGCGUAGACGGUUGUGCAAGUCAGAAGUGAAAGCCCGGGGCUCAACUCCGGGACUGCUUUUGAAACUGUGAAGCUGGAGUGCAGGAGAGGUAAGCGGAAUUCCUGGUGUAGCGGUGAAAUGCGUAGAUAUCAGGAGGAACACCAGUGGCGAAGGCGGCUUACUGGACUGUAACUGACGUUGAGGCUCGAAAGCGUGGGGAGCAAACAGGAUUAGAUACCCCAGUAAU
rnacentral:rRNA from 1 species